ACGGAGGGUGCAAGCAUUAAUCGGAAUUAUUGGGCGUAAAGGGCGCGUAGGCGGGAUUAAAAGUCAGAUGUGAAAUUCCGAAGCUCAACUUCGGAGCCGCAUUUGAAACUGCAAUUCUUGAGGGAUGGCGGAGGAAACGGAAUUCCACGUGUAGCGGUGAAAUGCGUAGAUAUGUGGAAGAACACCUGUGGCGAAAGCGGUUUUCUAGCUUUUACCUGACGCUGAGGCGCGAGAGCAAGGGGAGCAAACAGG
rnacentral:rRNA from 1 species